CUGCCCAGUCAGAAUCAUCUUGGUAGUGUCAUAAGAAUAUUAAUGGUCACACAUGACAGGGAAAAUAAGAGACGCCACUGAAGAAGGAAUAUAUGCAGAUACAGUGGAGGCAUAUGUGAAAUUUGUCAAUCACUUGGUUAACCAGCCCUUCUUGAUCUGCUUGUUCAACCUAACUCAUACGAGGAUACGGAAAUCGAAGAUUUGAGGCCUUCAAGGAAGAAAGCAUAAGCCCAUGUCAGAGAUUACAUCUGGAAUAUGAUGUGGAAUAUACCAUCAGG